CAAGGGGCGAGUGGGUGGAUGGGUAAAACCACCUGCUCCUCAAAACAGCCAGGCUCUGAGAUGAAGCAGGAAUCUGCACUUAAACCGAGGCUGGAUCCAUCCUAGGGAUUCAAGCCUGUGUUGUCAAGCGAAAACAGAAAAGAGAAGGGAAUUCCACCUUUGCCCACUGAGAACACAUCUAUGCUGAGAACACAUCUACCCAACUCCUCUGUCACAACCCCUGUGAGAAGGUUCUGCCAUCUCCCAGCCCUGAAGAUUGUGAGCUCCCUGAUGGCCCUGGGCCUCCCUCCCGACAGCUGAGGCCCUUCCUGGAUCUCUACACGUCACCAAGCUAAGCCAGUGUUCCAAAAUAGUCUCCUGAACAAUGAUGACAACUGCACAGUUAUUUUGGAAGAACUUCCUGGCAGUGAUGGCAGUGGAACAUUGGAAACAGAGAUGAACAGGAGGUGGGAAGAGGAGGCUAAGUACAUGUAGGCCUAAAAGUCUCUGCCUUGGGAGAUUUUUAACAGUCCUGGAUGGAGGUAAGGAGGCAGGCGUGAUUCUAAGAUCUCAAGGAAAGGAGAUUCUAUGUCACUCUUCUCUUCCCUUGGCCCUCAGACUGUUUACGAACAAAAUAAUUUCAUCAAUUAUUUCAUUAUUUCAUUAUAGCAGAUCCCCUCACUGAGACUUCCAAAGAUUUUUAUCAACAAUUUUAUGUCACUCCCACUAACUCUUUGAAGGUAAAUGGC
rnacentral:lncRNA from 1 species